GGGGCCAUAGCUCAGUUGGGAGAGCGCCUGAUUUGCAUUCAGGAGGCCGUCGGUUCGACUCCGUCUGGCUCCACCA
rnacentral:tRNA from 7 species